GACGAACGCUGGCGGCGUGCUUAACACAUGCAAGUCGAGCGGUAAGGCCCUUUCGGGGGUACACGAGCGGCGAACGGGUGAGUAACACGUGGGUGACCUGCCCUCAGCUCUGGGAUAAGCCCGGGAAACUGGGUCUAAUACCGGAUAUGACUCCACGGUGCAUGUCGUGGGGUGGAAAGCCUUGUGCGGCUGAGGAUGGGCCCGCGGCCUAUCAGCUUGUUGGUGAGGUAACGGCNCACCAAGGCGACGAUCAGUAGCUGGUCUGAGAGGAUGAUCAGCCACAUUGGGACUGAGACACGGCCCAAACUCCUACGGGAGGCAGCAGUGGGGAAUAUUGGACAAUGGGCGCAAGCCUGAUCCAGCCAUGCCGCGUGAGUGAUGAAGGCCCUAGGGUUGUAAAGCUCUUUUACCCGGGAAGAUAAUGACUGUACCGGGAGAAUAAGCCCCGGCUAACUUCGUGCCAGCAGCCGCUGUAAG
rnacentral:rRNA from 1 species